rnacentral:lncRNA from 1 species
UGCCAGCUUCCAAGUAAAAAUGAUGAAAGGAAUACUCACAUAGAAACAUUGGUACGAAGUUGACAGCCAAUAAUCAGCAUUACUCUGAUGUUCUCUGUUUCACUGGCAGUGCUAUUUUCAGUAGGAAUAUGAGAGCUCCUGCCCUAGACAAGGGCUUCAGAAUCAAUAAACACAUGAGCUGCCUCUUACUGGAGAACCUCUUUCAACAGAUAGUGAGAAAGACUUCUAUGACUACAUUCAGCAGAAAUUCUGAGACUCCAAGGAACGAAGCAAA